rnacentral:rRNA from 1 species
AGAGUUUGAUCCUGGCUCAGAUUGAACGCUGGCGGAAUGCUUUACACAUGCAAGUCGAGCGGCAGCGCGGGGGAAACCCUGGCGGCGAGCGGCGAACGGGUGAGUAACACAUCGGAACGUACCCAUUCGUGGGGGAUAACUAUCCGAAAGGAUAGCUAAUACCGCAUAAUUCCUGAGGGGGAAAGCAGGGGAUCGCAAGACCUUGCGCGGAUGGAGCGGCCGAUGUCAGAUUAGCUAGUUGGUGGGGUAAAGGCCUACCAAGGCGACGAUCUGUAGCUGGUCUGAGAGGACGACCAGCCACACUGGAACUGAGACACGGUCCAGACUCCUACGGGAGGCAGCAGUGGGGAAUUUUGGACAAUGGGCGCAAGCCUGAUCCAGCCAUUCCGCGUGAGUGAAGAAGGCCUUCGGGUUGUAAAGCUCUUUCGGCAGGGAAGAAACGGUACGUGCUAAUACCAUGUGCUAAUGACGGUACCUGAAGAAGAAGCACCGGCUAACUACGUGCCAGCAGCCGCGGUAAUACGUAGGGUGCGAGCGUUAAUCGGAAUUACUGGGCGUAAAGCGUGCGCAGGCGGUUUUGUAAGACAGAUGUGAAAUCCCCGGGCUUAACCUGGGAACUGCGUUUGUGACUGCAAGACUCGAGUACGGCAGAGGGGGGUGGAAUUCCACGUGUAGCAGUGAAAUGCGUAGAGAUGUGGAGGAACACCGAUGGCGAAGGCAGCCCCCUGGGUCGAUACUGACGCUCAUGCACGAAAGCGUGGGGAGCAAACAGGAUUAGAUACCCUGGUAGUCCACGCCCUAAACGAUGCCAACUAGGUGUUGGGGAAGGAGACUUCCUUAGUACCGUAGCUAACGCGUGAAGUUGGCCGCCUGGGGAGUACGGUCGCAAGAUUAAAACUCAAAUGAAUUGACGG